rnacentral:rRNA from 1 species
AGUGAACGCUGGCGGUAGGCCUAACACAUGCAGGUCGAACGGCAGCACAGUAAGAGCUUGCUCUUACGGGUGGCGAGUGGCGGACGGGUGAGGAAUACAUCGGAAUCUACUUUUUCGUGGGGGAUAACGUAGGGAAACUUACGCUAAUACCGCAUACGACCUACGGGUGAAAGCAGGGGAUCUUCGGACCUUGCGCGAUUGAAUGAGCCGAUGUCGGAUUAGCUAGUUGGCGGGGUAAAGGCCCACCAAGGCGACGAUCCGUAGCUGGUCUGAGAGGAUGAUCAGCCACACUGGAACUGAGACACGGUCCAGACUCCUACGGGAGGAAGCAGUGGGGAAUAUUGGACAAUGGGCGCAAGCCUGAUCCAGCCAUACCGCGUGGGUGAAGAAGGCCUUCGGGUUGUAAAGCCCUUUUGUUGGGAAAGAAAAGCAGCAGGUUAAUACCCCGCUGUUCUGACGGUACCAAAAGAAUAAGCACCGGCUAACUUCGUG